rnacentral:tRNA from 1 species
AUGAAUGGGCGGGCCUUGAUCCCACGAA